GUUUUGAGAGAGGGUGGGAUGUGAUGUCAGCAGAUUGGACUGCACUUGCAAAAGCUGUCCCACAGUGACCAAUGAAAUACUGCUUCAGGACAUCUGAGAUCAAGGCCAAGUAGGAGUCCCAGCCAGGCCUGGUCUGGGUCCAGGGUCAGCAGCUGGGGUCAGUGGUCACUUAGUGGCUGGGUGUAGGACCCAGGCUGUGGUGGGGUCAGGGUAUGUCAUGGGUCACUUGUGGUCAGGUCCAAGACUGAAGCCUGGCUGGCAUUGGGUGUUGAGUGUUGGAGUUGAUUCUAGGGCCAGGCUGCAGCUUCCCCACUGAGGGAGACUGGCUUUCCUUAACAAACUACACCUCUGUGCCUGGCCAGGCCUACAAGCCCCCUUUCCUAAUCCUGGCCCUCUAUCCUUAAGCCCUGCCCCACAGUCUGUCUCCAUCAGGCCUGAGAAGGACCAGUCAGUGUUCCUAGAGGGUCUGUUCAUCCAAGCUGAGGCCCCUGCAUCCUGUCUGCUGAGGUUCCCAGCUCAAAGGCAGUGACCCAGACCCAUGAUUCUCAAAACGUGCUUUUCCUAGUACAAGAGAUGCCAGUAUCUCCCAGGAACUUGUCCCAGGUUAACAAUUUCACCUAAUUCUGACUUUUCCACCUCAUUCUGAAUCCGAAACUCUCAGGGUGCGCUUAGUACUCUCUGUGUUUUUUUCUUUUCUUUUACAAAAUGCCAGGGGAGAGUGCAAAUGCAGUUCCCCAUUACCACAAAUUAUGAAGUCGAGUUUCCCACCUUUGGGGAAAUUGCAGGGAUCAGCACAUCCAGAGUACAAUGGAGAAGACUCGCCCUGGGAAAACCACCUUUGUGAUCAUGGUCUCUCCCCUGAUGGAAUACAAUUGGAAAAACUGGUUAUUUUCCCAAGGCUUUGACUGGAAUGGUGUGCUCUCCUCUAAGGAAUCAAACUUAAGAAGCCAAUGAAACCCUUGGAAAACUGGCCUCAUAUUUUGUGUGCACAGUCCCUGUACAGGGUUUCUGAUGUGUGUUUAAAUUAUAUCCGUUACAGAAAUCAACUCCUGGAUACAUCAUAUUCAAGUCAAAGCCUAAAGAGCUGAGAAAGCAACCCCUAACAGUCCAAAAAAAGUCCUAUUCAUGUAAAAAAAUAAAUAAGAAAUCUUAAGCUAAAAAUCAUAAAAGUUAAGUAACUAAGUAAAAAUUGCUCAUCUUACUCAGUCUCAACCCCACCUCACCAAAUACUUUUUGUCGUUUCUACUUCUCCUUUUAAGCCAACUAUUAAAACCUUUUUUAAUGAAAAUUAUUUACUAUGACACCCUCGCGGGAACUGCUGUACUCACUCUACUAUUUGCAGUAGGACUGUGAACCCUCAGAGUGGAAUAUCUGACAGAGAAUCUCAAUUACUGUAGCAUUUUGCUUAAUUAUUAUCCUCAUAGCAGGAAUAACAGUUACUAACAAAAAAUAACACAUGGGUCUUUCCAAACAUGCACCUCUGCCUGUCAUUAAAAAAAAAAAAAAAAAAAGUUACUUCUGUCUCAACCAGUCGGGCCUAAUAAAAAAUGCUGCUGAAAAGCCUAGGACUAAUGUUUUUACUCUGCCUAAUUAACCUUUAUCAAAAAUUUUUAACCGACAGAAUCAUGGCCAUUUCGCAACUACCCAAAAACAUCUACAAAUGGUGUUGAUCCUACAGUCAAUCUAAGACCAAAAAACUCUCCACCCCCGCAUCAGCAGGAAGUAGCUAGAAAGAACAUGUCCCCUCUUGUCCUUUUAUAACCAUAGGGUCUGGAAUGAUAGAGCAGGAGUACUGUCAUCUCAGACAAACACCGCCACUUUAAAUUCCAGCUCCCUUUCUAGCCUCAUGCAUUUCAAGGAAAUCACUUCUCUUCUAACUACAAGCAGCCAGAAAGAGCAGACAGUAAAACACGGAUAAGACAGCUGGGACACAAAGGGAGGUGGGGGGAAAGUAUCUUGGGUAACUGCCAAACUUCACCCUCAUACGAUGGGCCCCAGUAAAACAGUGGGCCUUAAUAAUAAGGAACAAGCACAUUCCCUUUCCUUCAGGGGCACUAAGACAGGAAAGCUAAAAGCAGACUCUUGGCUGGGCGCGGUGGCUCAUGCCUGUAAUCCCAGCACUUUGGGAGGCCGAGGCGGGCGGAUC
rnacentral:lncRNA from 1 species